GUGUGUGUGUGUGUGUGUGUGUGUAUCACUUCUUCUUUAUCAUUCAUCAAUCAAUGUACACAUGAGCUGUUUCCAUAAUUUGGCUAAUGUAGAUAAUGCUGCAAUAAAUAUUGGGGUGCAUAUAUCCCUUUGUGUAUUUGUGUAUUUUUUGGGUAAAUACCUGGAAGUGCAAUUGGUGAAUCACAGGGAAGUCCUAUUUUUUAACUUUUUGAGGAGCUUCCCUACAGUUUUCCAGAUUGGCUGCACCAGUUUGC